rnacentral:siRNA from 1 species
UCGAAGCUCGUAAUCUCCCCAGGC